rfam:Ictidomys tridecemlineatus contig040431, whole genome shotgun sequence.
GGGGUUGUGGCUCAGUGGUAGAGCGCAUCCCUAGCAUGUGUGAGGCACUGGGUUCAAUUCUCAGCAACGCAU